rnacentral:rRNA from 1 species
GACGAACCGUACGAACGUUAUUCGGAUUUACUGGGCUUAAAGGGUGCGUAGGCGGCGCGGAAAGUUGGGUGUGAAAUCCCUCGGCUUAACCGAGGAACUGCGCCCAAAACUACCGUGCUCGAGGGAGACAGAGGUGAGCGGAAACUUAGGGGUGGAGCGGUGAAAAAUGCGUUGAUAUCCUAAGGAACACCAGUGGCGAAAAGCGGCUCACUGGGUCUCUUUUCUGACGCUGAUGCACGAAAAGCUAAGGGGUAGCGAAACGGGG